GAGAAAGGAAAUGAGAAAGCUCUUAAAUGUUCGGUCACUUGGGGAAGAAAAUUGAAGGUAAGUUCAUGGUAGUUUGCUUUUAUUUUGAGGUUCAUGAGUUCUUCUUGAUUCUACCUUAACUCUUGAAGCAUAUUUUGGUUUUUAGUUGUGUUGUGAGCAUUUAGUCAUGAAUUAAAAUGAAGGAAAUGGUUGUUGUUUCAUGUUCUUUUGAUGAAAAUGGAAGAUAGGUGAAGUUGAGCCAAACAAAUGAGCAUGCAUGUGCCUUAGAUGUUAAAGGGAAAAAUCGGCUAACAUGUUGUGCUUUAAAAUGAUGAAAUGGAGAUUAUAAUUAAGUAAAAUCAUAGAUAUGUGAUUAUUGAUUGGUGAUAUACAUGUUUAAAUAACAUGCAUGCAAGUUAUGUGUGAAAGAGUGAUUUGGUAAUAAAUCUGCUUGGGACAGCAGCAGUAACGUGACUUUGGAAAAUCACCAUAAAUUGUGAGAGAUGAGUUAGAAGGUGAAUAAAUUAUGUAAUUAAAGGUUAAUGAGUCUAGUUUCAAAUGAAAUAAAUGAGAACAUAUUUUGAAUUCUGUACAAUGAUAAAUUUGUUUCGUAAAGAAGAGUGGUCAGAUUAGUCAAAUAGUGAAACAUGGGAAACUUUGACAAAAAUCUGGUAUUGAUUGGCCAAACCAAAAAUUCUGAAAAUUUUAUGGAUAGAAGAUAUAUGAGUCUAUUUUCAGGGAAAAUUAACGCCACUUGAAUUGGAGUUUCGUACCUCCAGUUAAUAAUAAUUUAGUGACUGUUGCUCAGGAAGACAGCUUGCAGUGAAAUUAUGAUUAUGUGGUAAAUAUUGACAAAAAUUUGUUAAUGAGUUGCUUAUUGUUUUCUUAUAAGCUUACUAUGAUCUGUAGGUGUGGUUGGCCGAAUAUUGUAAGGGGUUAAUACGUAGUUUAUAUUUGAAUAGUUAGAUUAACGUGUUAGUAAUCCAAUUUUAGGCGGUUCGUGUGUGGAUCUCAUUAGCAUAUCGUCGCAAACAGGUGUGUAACUGACACCCUCUCAUAGACUAGAUUGGCAAGAGCCGAAAUGCCGAAAAGUCGGUAUUUUGGGAUUUUGCGAGUGUGCGAAUGCUCGUAAGAUAGUUGGGUUUGUAUAUUUGGUAAUCUAAAGUAAUAAACUGCAAUACGCGUAAUUUCGUACAUUUUGAUAAUUUGGGCUUAAUGGGCCAAAGAUCGGUUCAUGGGCCAACGGGCCCAAUUUGGUAAGUAUGCGCGGUAAGUGGUCUGAUAGUAUGUAAAUAGUUAGGAUAUGGAUGAAAACCCUAAAAGCAGCUAAAUUACUAUAAUACCCCUAUGUAUGGAAAAUUACUGUUAUACCCCUAGGUGCAAAAUUACCUUUAUACCCUUAGGGUUAAUUUUGACUGAAAAGCAUGACGAUCUGAUUCUGUAUGAUGUAUGCCAUGAUUAUAUAUCUGUUACAUGGGGACAUGGGUUAUAUUAUGGAGGAAGCAUCCUGGUGGCUAUGCCACAAUUAUCUGAUCUGGUGGCUCUGCCACAUAUAUCUGUUCUGGUGGCUAUGCCACGAUUAUCUGAUCUGGUCGCUCUGCCACAUAUAUCUGUUUUGGUGGCUAUGUCACGAUUAUCUGAUCCUGAUCUGGUGGCUCUGCCACAUAUAUCUGUUCUGGUGGCUCUGCCACAAUAUCUGUAUCUGGUGACUUCGUCACAAUAUCUGGCUGUCUCGCUGCGAUUUCUGUGGUGUGUAGCGGUUUGGUGGGUCGAGUAGUCUCCCCACAUGGUGUAAGGCUGGUACGGGGGUGUUAUGGAUGAAUCUGGGUUGGGAUUUCUACAUUCAUGUAAUAUCUGUUCUGAUCUGUUAUGGGCCUAUGGGCUUUAUUCUAAAUUUCUAUUCUGGGCUAAGGCCAACUUAUUCUGUUUCUGUGGUUUGAGCUGAUAUAGGCUAUGGUUGGGUUAAUUUACACACUGAGUUUCCCCAAACUCAUCCCUUUUAUUUUCUUCCACGCAGGUAAUCCCCAACCAUAGUGGGCUUGGAGCUGUGAGGGAAUUCGGAGUGGCCACCCGUUCUGAAAGUUUGAUUUUCUUCUAGUGAACUGGACAUCCUUUUAUUUACGUUUGAAGUUUUGGGUUUUAAAUGUAAUAAGGCCGCUUAAUUAUUUUUGAUGGUUUUAAUAUGUAUUACUAAGAUAGGUAUUACUUA
rnacentral:lncRNA from 1 species